rnacentral:rRNA from 1 species
UACCUGAUGUUGUGAGAAGAAGGCCUCUGAUUUUCACGAAAGACUUCGGUCGCCGAUGGAUGGGGAUGCGUACGAUUAGGCAGCAGGCGGGGUAACGGCCCACCUGGCCAACGAUCGUUAGGGGUUCUGAGAGGAAGGUCCCCCACACUGGUACUGAGACACGGACCAGACUCCUACGGGAGGCAGCAGUGAGGAAUAUUGGUCAAUGGGCGCAAGCCUGAACCAGCCAAGUAGCGUGCAGGACGACUGCCCUAUGGGUUGUAAACUGCUUUUAUGCGGGGAUAAAGUGAGCCACGCGUGGCUUAUUGCAGGUACCGCAUGAAUAAGGACCGGCUAAUUCCGUGCC